GGUUGAAGAAGAGGUAAUGACACCAUGGCAUUCAACUGUGAAUUGCACAUUCUGUAUAGUUCCAUCGUCAAUUAAUUCUCCACCACCUUGGGCGAUCCACUCGACAAUCUCAGUUCUCUGCAAGAACAAUGAAGAAAACAAUAAUACGACUCAAUAGUCAAUAAUCUUGCUAGGAAGGUAACUGAGAGAUGAUUUAAAGUAGUAAGCAGAUUUUGAGAUUGCAUACAGAGCAUCACAGUAUAAAAUGAUAUUUAUAGAAACACAAAAGUUACUCAAGGUUAUGAGAGAG
rnacentral:lncRNA from 1 species